UACGGAAGGGGGCAAGCGUUUGUUCGGAAUCAUUGGGCGUAAAGGGCGCGUAGGUGGUUCUGUAUGUCUACCGUGAAAGCGUACGGCUCAACCGUAUUUUGUCGGUGGAAACUGCAGGACUUGAGGCUGGGAGGGGCUGGUGGAAUUCCCUGUGUAGCGGUGAAAUGCGUAGAGAUGGGGGAGAACACUCGUGGCGAAGGCGGCCAGCUAGACCAGUUCUGACACUGAGGCGCGACAGCGUGGGGAGCAAAGCAGG
rnacentral:rRNA from 1 species